GCCAAGCAGUGAAUGGGGUGAGGAAAGCGAUAACAUGUCCAGUUCAGGAUGUUGAAAAUUCAAAUGAGUUCCACUGUACCCAAGAAAGAACUUUGAAUGGCAUCAGAAAAAUGAAAGAUUUGGAGCCUGACUCUACAAAUGAAGAUAGAACUGACAGAUCUGUGUGUGUGGGAGGAUAUGUAACUGCAGCCAUGGAGAAAAUGAAAUUCCAUUAUAAUACAUACGCAUUACUAGUUGUGUU